CAAUAGCGUAUAUUAAAGUUGUUGCAGUUAAAAGCUCGUAGUUGGAUUUCUGGCAUGAUGCGCCUGGCCCGCCUCGAUUACGAGUGUGUGUGCGAGCGCGCGUCUGCCAUCCAUUUGCAGAAUAUAUCUACCCUUCAUUGGGCCGGAUAUGUGAUGUAAAUCUUUUACUUUGAAAAAUUAGAGUGUUUAAAGCAGGCAUUUGCUAUGAAUACAUUAGCAUGGAAUAAUAAUCUAGGACUUCGGUUCUAUUUUGUUUGGUUUCUUAGAUCUGAAGUAAUGAUUGAUAGGAUAGUUGGGGGUGGCUAGUAUUAAGGGGCCGAGAGGUGGAAAUUACUUGGAUUCUCUUAAGUACUAACUUAUGCGAAAGCAUUCACCAAGGAUGUCUUCUUUUAAUUCAAGAACGAAAGUUGGGGGAGUCGAAGACGAUCAGAUACCGU
rnacentral:rRNA from 1 species